ncrna:unclassified sequences Type-P5 twister ribozyme ribozyme sequence
CGCAGAGUGACGGGGUGAAAACCCCGGUAAUGCGGCAGGCCGGUCACAAGCCCGG